GACGAACGCUGGCGGCGUGCUUAACACAUGCAAGUCGAACGAUGAAGCCUAGCUUGCUAGGUGGAUUAGUGGCGAACGGGUGAGUAAUACGUGAGUGACCUACCUUUGACUCUGGGAUAAGCCUGGGAAACUGGGUCUAAUACCGGAUAUGACCAAUCUCCGCAUGGGGUGUUGGUGGAAAGCGUUAUGGAGUGGUUUUAGAUGGGCUCACGGCCUAUCAGCUUGUUGGUGAGGUAAUGGCUUACCAAGGCGACGACGGGUAGCCGGCCUGAGAGGGUGACCGGCCACACUGGGACUGAGACACGGCCCAGACUCCUACGGGAGGCAGCAGUGGGGAAUAUUGCACAAUGGGCGCAAGCCUGAUGCAGCGACGCCGCGUGAGGGAUGACGGCCUUCGGGUUGUAAACCUCUGUUAGCAUCGAAGAAGCGAAAGUGACGGUAGGUGCAGAGAAAGCGCCGGCUAACUACGUGCCAGCAGCCGCGGUAAUACGUAGGGCGCGAGCGUUGUCCGGAAUUAUUGGGCGUAAAGAGCUUGUAGGCGGUUGGUCGCGUCUGCUGUGAAGGCUGGGGCUUAACCCUGGUUUUGCAGUGGGUACGGGCUAACUAGAGUGCAGUAGGGGAGACUGGAAUUCCUGGUGUAGCGGUGGAAUGCGCAGAUAUCAGGAGGAACACCGAUGGCGAAGGCAGGUCUCUGGGCUGUAACUGACGCUGAGAAGCGAAAGCAUGGGGAGCGAACAGGAUUAGAUACCCUGGUAGUCCAUGCCGUAAACGUUGGGCACUAGGUGUGGGGGACAUUCCACGUUUUCCGCGCCGUAGCUAACGCAUUAAGUGCCCCGCCUGGGGAGUACGGCCGCAAGGCUAAAACUCAAAGAAAUUGACGGGGGCCCGCACAAGCGGCGGAGCAUGCGGAUUAAUUCGAUGCAACGCGAAGAACCUUACCAAGGCUUGACAUAUACUGGACUGCGUCAGAGAUGGCGUUUCCCUUCGGGGCUGGUAUACAGGUGGUGCAUGGUUGUCGUCAGCUCGUGUCGUGAGAUGUUGGGUUAAGUCCCGCAACGAGCGCAACCCUCGUUCUAUGUUGCCAGCACGUGAUGGUGGGGACUCAUAGGAGACUGCCGGGGUUAACUCGGAGGAAGGUGGGGAUGACGUCAAAUCAUCAUGCCCCUUAUGUCUUGGGCUUCACGCAUGCUACAAUGGCCGGUACAGAGGGUUGCGAUACUGUGAGGUGGAGCUAAUCCCUAAAAGCCGGUCUCAGUUCGGAUUGGGGUCUGCAACUCGACCCCAUGAAGUCGGAGUCGCUAGUAAUCGCAGAUCAGCAACGCUGCGGUGAAUACGUUCCCGGGCCU
rnacentral:rRNA from 1 species